AUUGAACGCUGGCGGCGUGCCUAACACAUGCAAGUCGAGCGAGGGAGGGGAGCUUGCUUCCCGACCUAGCGGCGCACGGGUGAGUAACACGUGGAUAAUCUACCCAUCAGUAUGGAAUAACAGACAGAAAUGACUGCUAAUACCGUAUGCGAUCCAGUAUAUUCUAUUGGGUGAAAGGCGGCCUCUGCUUGCAUGCUGUCGCUGAUGGAUGAGUCCGCGUCUCAUUAGGUAGUUGGUAGGGUAACGGCCUACCAAGCCGACGAUGAGUAGCCGGCCUGAGAGGGUAAUCGGCCACACUGGGACUGGAACACGGCCCAGACUCCUACGGGAGGCAGCAGUGGGGAAUAUUGCGCAAUGGGCGAAAGCCUGACGCAGCGACGCCGCGUGAGGGAUGAAGGCCUUCGGGUCGUAAACCUCUGUCAGGAGGGAAGAAGUGUAUGGGUGCUAAUCAGCCCAUAUUUGACGGUACCUCCAAAGGAAGCACCGGCUAACUCCGUGCCAGCCGCCGCCGUAAAC
rnacentral:rRNA from 1 species